UACGUAUGGGGCAAGCGUUACCCGGAUUUACUGGGUGUAAAGGGCGUGUAGGCGGGACUGCAAGUCAGAUGUGAAAACCACGGGCUCAACCUGUGGCCUGCAUUUGAAACUGUAGUUCUUGAGUACUGGAGAGGCAGACGGAAUUCCUAGUGUAGCGGUGAAAUGCGUAGAUAUUAGGAGGAACACCAGUGGCGAAGGCGGUCUGCUGGACAGCAACUGACGCUGAGGCGCGAAAGCGUGGGGAGCAAACAGG
rnacentral:rRNA from 1 species